ACCCCGAACGGCGGAUCACUUGGCUCGUGGAUCGAUGAAGACCGCAGCUAUCUGCGCGUCGUCGUGUAAUCCGCAGGUUAUACGAACAUCGACCAGUCGAACGCACAUUGCGGCCUCGGUGACCCGCGGGUCCCGGGCCACGCCUGUCUGAGGGUCGUAUACCGGAUACUCGGCCAGACCGAUGUGCCGCCGGCAGGCGUCCGACGGCCAGCCCGUCGGCCGCUCCGGCGGUGCGAGAUUGGCGGUUCGACCGGGGAACACUGCCGCUCCGGCGGCUGCCUCCGGUCGUCCGCCCAAGUUGUGACGGCAAACAGUCACGGGUUCUCGCGUCGUCAAACGGCACGUCCCCGUCCGCCCGCCGCGCGAGAGCGCGGCCGGGUCGGCUGAGAGUCGUCGAGACCUCUCCGGCUUCCGAGAAGCGGACGCGGACGGUCACCGUACGGGCGGAGCGCGGACCGCAGGCUGCCGUGUAAACAUAGAAAAAAAUACCGAUACGUUCCGACCUCAGAUCAGGCGGGACUACCCGCCGGAUUUAAGCAUAUUAAUAAGCGGAGGAAAAGAAAACAACCGUGAUUCCCCCAGUAGCGGCGAGCGAACAGGGAAAAGCCCAUCGCCGAAUCCCGCCGCGCACUUUUGUGUCGCGGCACGUAUGGGAGUUGUGGCGUACGGGCCGGCCUCGUUGCCGGGGCGCACGUGACGGUCCAAGUCUCCCUUGAACGGGGCCAUGGCCCGCAGAUGGUGCCAGGCCAGUAGAGGCCGUCACAGCGUUCCGGGAUCGGACCGCGCCUUCGAGUCGGGUUGCUUGAGAGUGCAGCCCGAAGCGGGUGGUAAACUCCAUCUAAGGCUAAAUACGGCCACGAGACCGAUAGUGGACAAGUACCGUGAGGGAAAGUUGAAAAGAACUUUGAAGAGAGAGUUCAUAAGAACGUGAAACCGUUCGGGUGUAAACGGACAGAGCCCGCGAGUCCCCGCCGGGCGAAUUCACGGUCGGUCUAACCGCCGGCCGGAUCUUUCGCUCGGUUAGCGGACGUCGCGACUCGUUGGGCGCCGGCCGAAGGGCCCGGGUGGCGGUUCGUCGCGGCGGUCGCGUUUCGGCGUGACCGAUCGCGCCGAACCCCGGUGCUCCUGGUCGGCUCGCCCGACGGCAAGAACCGUCGACGCGGCCCCGUCGCAGGCGGGGUCCCGUCGGUCGGCGACGAGUUUCGGGCUACUUUCCGACCCGUCUUGAAACACGGACCAAGGAGUCUAACGUGUGCGCGAGUCAACGGUGAUCUUACGAAAAACCACGUUUGGCGCAAUGAAAGUGAACCGUUUACGGUGCGGACGAUGGCCUAGCGACCGAACCCACCGGCGUUCAAAGUCGCGCUGGUCCGCAGUCCGGGGGCGUCUCCGCCAGGUCGGCUUCGGCCGUCCGGGGGCGCACCCUUAGCGCACACGUUGGUACCCGAAAGAUGGUGAACUAUGCCUGGCCAGGAUGAAGUCAGGGGAAACCCUGAUGGAGGUCCGCAGCGAUUCUGACGUGCAAAUCGAUCGUCUGAGCUGGGUAUAGGGGCGAAAGACUAAUCGAACCAUCUAGUAGCUGGUUCCAUCCGAAGUUUCCCUCAGGAUAGCUGGCGCCGAUGUGUCCCGCCCGUUCGCGGGCGUACGGACGCCGGUGGGACUCCGCGCUGUACGGCGCGGUAACAACACGCUCGUAACACGGAGGAUGUCUCAUACGGUAAAGCGAAUGAUUAGAGGACAUUGGGGCCGAAACGACCUCAACCUAUUCUCAAACUAUAAAUGGGUGAGAUCGCCGGCUUUACCUGGUACACCGCGUGAACCGCGUGCGAAGCCGGCGACGGAACCCUAGGCGCUUAGUGGGCCAUUUUUGGUAAGCAGAACUGGCGCUGCGGGAUGAACCGAACGCCGAGUUAAGGCGCCGAAAUCGACGCGUAUUCAGAGACCAUGAAAGGCGUUGGUUGCUGAUGACAGCAGGACGGUGGCCAUGGAAGUCGGAAUCCGCUAAGGAGUGUGUAACAACUCACCUGCCGAAGCAACUAGCUCUGAAAAUGGAUGGCGCUGGAGCGUCGUGCCUAUACUCGGCCGUCGGCGGCAUAGUGGGGCCGGCCGUCGCUCGCGGCGGUCGGUCCCGGCAAGCCCCGACGAGUAGGAUGGCGCGGCGGUGUGCGUCGAAGGGCAGGUCGCGAGACCGCCUGGAGCCGCCGUCGGUGCAGAUCUUGGUGGUAGUAGCAAAUACUCGAGAGGGGCCCUCGGGGGCUGCCGUGGAGAAGGGUUUCUUGUGAACAGCCGUUGUCCAAGAGUCAGUCGAUCCUAAGCCCGGGGAGAGAUCCUCGUACCACGGGCGAAGGCGUUUUCGAAUCGCCCAUGGGGCGAGAGGGAAUCCGGUCCGUAUUCCGGAACCCGACGCGGAACCGCUCCCUAGUGUUCGGGGCUCUUUUGUCUCGUCCGGGCGACCGGAAUGAACUCGAAGAAGCCGCCGGGGGGUCCGGGAAGAGUUCUC